GUUGGGUGCAGUGGUGCACACCUGUAAUCCCAGGCACUCUGGAGGCUGAGGCAAGGAGGCUUGCAAGUUUGAAUACAGCCUCAACAAUUUAGCAAGACCCUGUCUCAA
rnacentral:sRNA from 1 species